CCCAGACUCCUACGGGAGGCAGCAGUGGGGGAUAUUGCACAAUGGGGGGAACCCUGAUGCAGCGACGCCGCGUGGGUGAAGGAGCGUUUCGGCGCGUAAAGCCCUAUCGGCAGGGAAGAGGGAGGACGGUACCUGACUAAGAAGCCCCGGCUAACUACGUGCCAGCAGCCGCGGUAAUACGUAGGGGGCAAGCGUUAUCCGGAUUUACUGGGUGUAAAGGGGGCGCAGACGGCAGCGCAAGCCAGGAGUGAAAGCCCGGGGCCCAACCCCGGGACUGCUCUUGGAACUGCGCGGCUGGAGUGCAGGAGGGGCAGGCGGAAUUCCUGGUGUAGCGGUGAAAUGCGUAGAUAUCAGGAGGAACACCGGUGGCGAAGGCGGCCUGCUGGACUGCGACUGACGUUGAGGCCCGAAAGCGUGGGGAGCAAACAGGAUUAGAUACCCUCGUAC
rnacentral:rRNA from 1 species